rnacentral:rRNA from 1 species
AUUGAACGCUGGCGGCAGGCCUAACACAUGCAAGUCGAACGAGUGGCGGACGGGUGAGUGAUGUCGGGGAAACUGCCUGAUGGAGGGGGAUAACUACUGGAAACGGUAGCUAAUACCGCAUACGAUCAGAUGUGCCCAGUUGGGAUUAGAUAGUUGGUGGGGUAACGGCUCACCAAGGCGACGAUGCAUAGCUGGUCUGAGAGGAUGACCAGCCACACUGGAACUGAGACACGGUCCAGACUCCUACGGUAGGCAGCAGUGGGGAAUAUUGCACAAUGGGCGAAAGCCUGAUGGAGCCAUGCCGCGUGUAUGAAGAAGGCUUUCGGGUUGUAAAGUACUUUCAGCGGGGAGGCGUUACCCGCAGAAGAAGCCCCGGCUAACUCCGUGCCAGCAGCCGCGGUAAUAC